UUAAGUUAAAAUUUAAAGUAUUCCCUGCCCUAUGAUUAUUUAAAUGGCUGCAGUAUUCUGACUGUGCAAAGGUAGCAUAAUAAAUAGCUUUUUAAUUGAAAGCUUGUAUGAAUGGGUUAAUGAAGGAUUAGUUUUAUUAUAUUUAUAAUUUGAAUUUAAUUUUUAAGUUAAAAAGCUUAAUUUUUUUUUUGGGACGAAAAGACCCUGUAGAAUUUUAUAUCUUUUUCUUUUAUUAUAUUUUUAGAAAUUUUUUUUUUUAUGAGAAUAAGUUAUUUAGCUGGGGCGGCUGUUAAAUUUAAACUUUAACUUAUUAUUUCAUUAAUUUAUGAUAUUGUUGAUCCUAGAAGAUUAUAAGAAAAAAUUACCUCAGGGAUAACAGCGUAAUUUUAAUGGAAAGUUCUUAUUAAUAUUAAAGUUUGCGACCUCGAUGUUGAAUUAAGAUUAUAUUGGGGGGUAGGUUCUUCAAGUUUAAGUCUGUUCGACUUUUAAAUUCUUACAUGAUCUG
rnacentral:rRNA from 1 species